UGAUUUUAAACAUAUUUUUAGCUUUAUUCCCAAGACUCUAAUAAUACCUCAACACUCGCAAAUUAGGUAUCCCACCUCUCUCUCUCACCCUACAGUAAAUACCCUAUUCUAUGCAUUGUGCCUUUCUUCCUCUUCCUCUCACAAAAUCUUUCACAAAUCGUUGUCGGCGUUUCACCAGUUCAUUGUAGCCGCCGACUCCUUUUUCCCUCCUUUCUGUCUCCUUUUCUCGCCAGGUCUCCGAUGAAGCUCGCAGGUUCAUCCAGAUACGACCGCGAAAUAGAUGGGCGUAUUCUCAUGGCAAAAGUUGAUUAAACUGAAGAAGUUGAUUUGUGUAGAAGGUUCCUGGCAACCUUGCCAUAUCAGCUCGUUCGGCAGCUCAUUCAUUUGAUGUUUCUCAGAUGAACAUGUCACAUGCAAUUUCUUGCUUUUCGAUUUUUCGUUUGGUAAGACAAUGUAAAUAGUGCAAAUACAUGAUCAGGACGCAGAUAUGUUCAAUUACUUUAAUCCAAUAGAUUAGACAAUUGGGUCAAUUGUUAGAUUCUUCUUAGCUUUAAUUUGGGUUUCCUAUUGAAUUUGCAUAAACAUUUAAUUUGAGUUAAUAAAUAACUUUUGUGUUCUCCGAGUUAUAUGGUGCCCAUUAUUAGGAGUUGAGUUAGACUGAAAGAGUGUUUGCUUCUUACCCACAUUUACAUAUUUAACUCUCUUCAUGUGAAGUAAUCUUUUUAUGCAGGGAACAAGAAAUUAGAGCUGCUGAGGGAAUGAUCUUUGAAAAAAGAAAUUAUGGGAGAUGAAGAUGAGUUUUACAAAUUAGUUAUAAGAUCUCCGCAAAUUGAAUGUCAUGAUAAAAUACAUAGCAUUUUUGGUAUUUUUAUCGAUGUUGAGAAGGUAGGCUCAAUGCAAUAUUGCAAAGAUUGACUAUGAUUGUUUAUAUUGUUAUUGAACAAUUCUUUGAAAUAUUAAUUCAUUUGAUGAUGUAAAUAUUUAGGUA